rnacentral:rRNA from 1 species
UGUGGUGUUUGGGUCGGCUCGCGGGAUUGCCACUCCACUCGAAGUCCAGCAUUGAGUAUGGUCACUGGAUUUGGCCCAGAGAGGGUGAAAGGCCCGUACGGGUGGAGGUUCAGACAUGUAAGGCAAUUCACCAGGUCGACCUUCGAGUCGGGUUGUUUGGGAAUGCAGCCCAAAGCGGGUGGUAAACUCCAUCCAAGGCUAAAUACAAGCACGAGUCCGAUAGCGAACAAGUACCGUGAGGGAAAGUUGAAAAGUACUUUGAAGAGAGAGUAAACAGUACGUGAAACCGCAUGCAGGUAAACGGGUGGCGUCAAGCUGCGAGCCCAGGGGAUUCAGCUGGCUAGGAUGUUGUGUAUGCGCCUGGCGCAUCUAUCAGUCAGAGUAGGAUGUGGUAGUCCGCUGGUAAACGGCGGGUCCGGCCGCAAGGUUGGGCGAUGUGUACCGGGUGGAAGCCGGAGCAUGCUACCCGUCUGGGGACUGUCUAGCCAGUGCAAUUUCUCUGUGGUGAACACCACGACCGGUGGAACUGCCAGUCUGCUGUAGUCAAGUCGUGUACGGUAGGUCCUUGUGGCCAACUGGAUGCGAUCACAGGCAAACUCAGUAAACGGCGUAGAGGUGCUUCGGCACUUUUGCGUGCUAUCGGCUACUGGUUGUCAACGGGCCUGCCUAGUGAUUGUUGUAACCGUCAUUGGGUGGCUUGGUGACUAUGGUGGUAAGAAUAACUGUGCAGGGCACCGGGUUUAUNGGCCUCAAUUGCAUCCCGCAUACACGUUACAAGUGGAGUGGGGUGCCGUUGCUGCUUGCCUGUUGUUGGGUCUGAUGGUCGUGUNGCCUGCGCAAAGUGGGCCCGGCUAUGGCCUGAUGCGGGAUAAGUAGUGGACGGUGCUUCCUGUGUGGGGUGUCGAGGGCCUAAUAGUCAGUGGUGCUGUGGUANACGAGCUACCCGACCCGUCUUGAAACACGGACCAAGGANUUUAACAUGUAUGCGAGUCAAUGGGUCCUACGAAACCCAAAGGCGCAGUGAAAGUAAAGCUUCGACUUGUUCUCGGAGUAAGGUGAGAUCCUGCUGUUACUCGCAUCAGCCUAAUGUCAGUAUCAGGCUAAGAGCAGUGGGCGCAUCACCGGCCCGUCCCAUGAUGUGGUCANNNNNNNCUGCGGUUGCUGCUUGC